GACCCUUUCUAGCUGAGAUGAAACAAGAAGGAUAGGCGACAAGCCGAGAGGGCAUCUGUGGUUUCUGUUUGGCCACAGAUCCUGGGGUUACAGAAAGACACCUUCAUUCCGUUACAGCAGUGAUGGUGCAGAUUCAGAAAGGAAGUGCAAACCUCCAAGGUCGUGGACUUUCUCUGAGAAGAAAAAAGAUCUAAUGAAGGAAGCCACAAAGAGAUGGCAAGGGAACCAAGGCAGGAAUGAGUCUGUCGAUAGCAAUUUCCAUUGGCCUUUGUUAUGUGCAAGACAAAGAGGCGACAUCUAAGGCUGAGUCCUUCAAGGACAAUGAUAAACCAACAGAGCUUUCCCAAGCAUCUGCAGUAGGUUCACAGAUUAACUGGGUCAGCGUCUCAUUUGCAACUCAGCUGGUGAAUGAUUCUCCUGCCCUUCAGAUAUGUUUGACAGUUUGUUCUCUGUGCUUUGAGGAAUCCAUGAAGACAAUUGAUCAGUUAAGAAUGGAUUCCAUGAAGAAGAAAAGAGAGAAAAAGAGAAGAGAAGAAGUCACUGCCAGGAUGAUUCACGCUGGGAAUAAGAGGCCAAACCCUGACUACCAGGUAAGCAGGAAACAGCAUGGAAUGCCAGGGAGGGAGGAAGGGGGUCUCCUGUAGGCAGGAAGGAAAGCUUCAUAAAGAAAUUGCAUCUUGUUUACAACACUUCCAGGGACAGGUUUGCCUUUUCUUUCCAUGUAGCUAUGUUUGAUGACCCGCACCUCUGUCCUACCUUAACCUAUCCUAUUGAUUUGAAAUAAGAGAUUUUUUUGAAAAGACAGCUUUGUUGAAAUAGAAUGUGCAUAUAGCAAACUGCAGAUGUUUAAAGUAUACAAGUAAAUAAGUUAGAUACCUGUGAGAUGAUCACCACCAUCAAGAUAAUGAACAUAUCUGUCACCUGCAAAAGUUCCUUUGGCCUUUGUGUCAAUCCUUUCUUCUGCCCCUUCCCAUCCUCUCCCCCUCG
rnacentral:lncRNA from 10 species